AUACUUACCUGGCAGGAGAGAUACCACGAUCACAAAGGUGGUUUUCCCAGGGUGAGACUUAUCCAUUGCACUCCGGGUAUGCUGAUUCCUACAAUUUUUCCAAAUGGGGGAAACUCAACUGCACAAUCUGUGCUGGGGGGACUGCGUUAACACUCUCCCCCA